CGGCGCACCCUGCGCCCCCCUGCUCCACGCUCUUCGUCGCAAACCUUGGGCAAUUCGUCUCAGAACAUGAGCUGAAGGAAAUAUUUAGCAGGGAGCCAAAGGCGGAGAAGAGGGCGAACAACGUUAAUUCUUACGUGGCUCUCGGCACUUGACAACCAGCUAACUGAGGGACGCGCCAUCUUGAUCCUCUGAGUGGCAUCGCGGCCGCGGCCGGAGACGGGGCUUGCUGCUGCUACGCGCGCCCUCUCUACGGAUGAACAGGAUCAAGAAUAUGGUGCGCAGCGCCGCGCUGCGGGCCGAUGCUCUCACCUCCUUAUUUCUUUACAAUUUUAACCGCGUCAGGGGUGUAUGUACGUGUGUGUGGUGUAUUUUGUUGAUACCAAAUUUAGAAUAAAUUUUAUUGUAUUAUUAUUAACAUUCCAGUUGAAUUGUUUACCGUUCAUGAUUAUAUUAUUUGAAAUUAUUUUAUCCCUUAAAUGUAAACUGUUCUCGCAAAACUUUUAAUAGUUAAUAUUCUUUUUAUGUAAUAUAGAUUUAUUUACAACUAACUUAUUUUGUGGGAAAUUUUUGUAUAUUAGUUUUAACGAGGCCGAUGUUUACAACUGAGAGGACUUGUUAUGAAUAUAGUGUAAUACCAGAAAUGAAAAAAAAAAACAUUUUAGGAUAUAUCACAUUCGAGUAAGCUAAAAACCAAAGGUGCCCUUCAUAGAAAAAUUACGUUUUGUUAUAUGAUAUUUCAAGUUGAAUGAUUUUUAAUAAAGUUGUAUGUAAUAAUUACGAUACAUUUGUUUUUAGUCGCGAUAAUGUUAGCAUAUUUAAAUAAAUUUCUCAUGACUAUUUCAAAUUAUAUUUACCUAAAUGCUUUUCUUAGUCAUUUUUAUAAUGUUCGAUCACUCGUUAAUCGCGCUGGCACUCUAGUGUUGGUCUCGCGUUUCCUUUCUAUCGAUUAUAUUGAAUUAUUGCAAUAAUUAUAAAUUGUAGAGUAAAUUCUAUGCGUCAGGAGGAGUGCGCCCCUCGGUGUCGCUCUGUGAAGUGCAAUGCGUGUGGGAGCGGUGGGGGAGGUGGGGGAGGUGUGGCGAGGUGGGGAGCGGUGGGGAGAGGUGGAGAGAGCCCUCGCACCCGUCACGUAUCGUUGCGAGAAUUUAGCCUUGGCCUUAUGAGAGUUAAAUAACUAAAUGUAAUCUCUAUGUUAAUUAAAUAGUGAAUAAUGUGUACGGCGAGCCGCGCGCCACGCUCUAUAGUGAAAACGAUUAUUCUAUUCGCAUGCUUGGACGAGCUUUUUGGUAAUAAUCUAAUUUAAAAAUUUAGUAGUUACUUUUAUUGUGUAAUCAUUAGAUGAAUAUUAUAACUAGCUAAGGGUAUUUAUUGUAGACGAUGAGCAUAGUUACAUUACUUUUAACGAAAUCUAUUCGUACAUAAUAAUGAAAUGUAAUGACGUUAAAUUUACCCAAAUGUUAGUAUGUAAUGGAAUGGAAGAUUAAUAUAUUUUUUAUUUUUAGCUAGUUGACUAUGUAUGGAGAUCUGUUUAGUUACUGAGUUACCUUCGCGUCACGGGGGGAGGGGGAGGCAUGGGGUGUGACGCAAGGUACACGGCACGCGAGACGGCAGCAAACCAAAAAUGAAAUGUUCAUGUUUGUAUUAUAGAUUUAGUGAAGUAUUCUGCUGAUGUAAACAUGUAAAAAUUAUAUAAAAAAACGUAAAAAAAAAAUCCCUGCUUAGUCUGUAAUUAUAAGGUUUCGGAUAUUCGGAUUAAAAACUUGACUCGACGGAAAUCAAUGAGUUAUUCACGCGAUAGAUGUCGUCAGAAAGACCAGUGAAAUCCGCAUGUGAAUUCUUAUGAAAAGUUUCUUAGUCAAUAUUUAAUAAAAAAAAAUAUCGUCAAUUUUUUGACUUAGCAAAAUUUUAUACAUCGUUUAUAGUGAUGUGACUUUCACAUUAUACCGAGCGUCGUUGCGUAUAGACCAAAGAUAAACGAUAUACAUAAUUUUAUUACUAACCUCAGACCGUACCAAACACGUAUUAUAAGGUGCACCUACUUUCGUAACGAUUUUCCAGAAUGUUCGUUAUCUUCUGGCCCGUACCUAAACCUACACCAGUUCCAAGUACGUCAAACAUCUGGUCUUAGACCAUCGUUACCUACCAGCUGUGAAAUGUGUGCAAUUUUUAUCUAUUUCAGAACGGAAAGCCACAAUUUAAACUAUCAGAAUGUCGGUUCCCUUCUUGAAAACCCUUGUCGAUUUUAGUAAUUAAGCUAAGUCAAUGUUUACUUAUUUAAUUCGAUUUAACGCUAAUUCGUGUGUAAGUACUUGUGUAAUAGUGUAGUAGUGAUCUCCCAACUUACGGCGAGCGGCGUCCCAUUCGAAAAUACAACGAAACCUUGAACACAACUUAGUGGAUUUUUUGUAUUUCUAAAUUCCCAUUAUCAACAAUAUCUUUAAAAUUCAAUCUAACAUUAAAUUCAAUUUUCGAGCGCUACUUUUUAAACGCUGUUUUUAUGUGAGUUUUUAUUUAGGCGGGAAAGUAAGUCGGGCGCCGCCGCCGCCAUGAUUCCGUCCAACGACCGUAGAUAGCGCGUAAGAGACGUCCAGUGGCUGCGGACACGGCUACGUCACCUAUUGCGGGACUACUCGAUACAUAUCAUCGUAAUAUUAAUGUAUUAUUAGAAGUAAAGAGCGGUUUCAUAGAGACGUUUAUUCUGUAUCCUCGUCUUGUACUUGUAAUGCAAUCGGCUGCAUGUCACGCUAUCGUCGCUCUUUCUAUUUCUACAAACGUUCCUCGCUUGGAAGCCGCGCGUUCUCCUUUCAUACUGACCUUCGCUUGAAAUCUGUCUGUGGAUUAGUUUGCGAUGUUAGUAUCGAUUGUUCUAUGAGAUAUUGCUCGCGUCUCGAAAGUAUGUAUAUAUUGUGCGUAUUUUGUUAACGUUUACCGACUGUGGCAUCGAGUAGAUUGUGGUGGGAGCGUGGUCGGUGUGUCAGAGUGGAGUCGGACGCGUGACAUGACCCGCGUGCGCUGUGCGACGUGCGACAGGCCAGUGCGGGGGAGUGGCGUCGCCUUGCAAGUUAGGUUAAGUGAAGCGGUAUCACACAAACACCGUGUAUCGGAAACAUAUCAAUUCUGUGCCCCUUAAUAAAUCUAGUUAAAUUCUAAUUUAGAUACAUAUGGAUAGAAUAAUGAAACAAAAUAAUCGUUCGGAGUAUAAAAUACCGGCUAAGUGUUGUUUUCGUAGACGGAGGUGGUAGUGUGUACUGUGUACUGUGUAAUGUGUCGUGUUGCGUGCGUGUUGUGCGCGUCGGACGCGACCGAACCUCGCGCGCUUUCUGUUCACUUAUUGCAAUUACAUUAUUCAAACGUUAUUUUUAUUGUUAAUUCUUAGACUAAUUAUUAAUAUGGCUUAAUUACCAAAAUAAUUUUUAGCUGUUCGCUUCGGAUUCAGUAUUAAUGUUCUUGUUUUGUCGGUGCGGAGAGACCGCGUGUCGCCUGUGACCUAUUUGUAUAUCGAGCAAAGUAAACCAUACAAAAUAUAUAGUUAGUAAUUAAUUGUUAGAUUUGUGUGACUUGAAUUAUUUAAUGCUUUUAGAGCAAUGGUAAAGUGUUAUUGUGGUUUAAGAAAAAAAAACAUAAUGACAUUGUAAAAAUAGUGAUAAAUUUAGCUUAAUUAUCAUUAUUACAACUUUUAUAGAUGUUCAUAUUGAUUUUUCUUUUCUUACUUCAUGGAGUUUUGUGGCAUUGGAGACGUCAUUGUUAAUUCAAAUAAAUCUGAGCUCAUCCUCAUUCGAUUUUUAUUCAACUGACAACCCUGAGUACUAAACCUGAGUCGUGAUCUGAGCAAUGUGGUACGCUUGUAGGCGUUAUCUCAAACAGACUAACACAAAUAUAAUGAAGACUUGAGGUGAGCUUAACGUUAUUCGUAUAAGUAAUAUUGACGUUAUGUGUUCGGCGAUUCGAUUUGACUAGCCUAGAUGCGAAUGACCUAGUCUGAACACCGCCAAGCAAUGCUCUACAGAUCAUACCUCCAUUUUUACCUAUCUUUGAAGCCUUUUGUCGUGUUAUAAUCUAAUUAUCUCUGCAAAAAUGAUAUGUUUAAUAUAUUGUCAAUAUUCUUGUAAUAUUAAUAAACAAUAUUAGUACUAAAUUAAUGAUAGAUUUCUAGUUUAGAUAAUCGAUUAGAUAUAAUGAUUGAGAGUUGAGCUUUGACCAUUGCUUUGUAGGGAAUGCUUCUGUACGUGCUGCGUGGAGGGCAGCGCCCGUCGACAGGUUGUUUUUGUUUAUAUUAUACAGACAACAGAGGUUUUAAUCUCUGUUUCAACUAUAUAAUUAAUUUAUCGCAGUGUUGUAUUUAUGUUAUUAUUAGUUUUAAAGCAUUAUAGGGUCCAAAGAUUGGGAAUAAAUUUAUGUGACAAAUUUA